rnacentral:piRNA from 1 species
UAAAGUUCUAGCCUGUGUCCCUCCUG